GCACGUCCUACAGAGCAGCACAGACAGAGUUGGGCGGACCCGGGGAUGUCCUCGGACGGAGCGUGGCCCUGCCACAGAAAUCAGCCCCGCCCCCACCCUCUGCAGCGCUGCACACACCCUGCUGAUCACCCCCAACUUCAGGCCCGCGGAGUAGACGCCUUCUCUGCAAGUACCACUGUCAGCCCAUGGUAGAGAUGUACAAAUGAGGCCGGGAGAAGCCAGAGACAUGCUCUUUCCCGUGGGAGCAGAUCCCCCAGUGGAUUUUCUCAGUCCAUGCCCCAAGGUAGCCCCCCAGGCGAAGGGCAUCGGCAACUUAGAGCCCUCCAGGUCCACCUGCAGGUGCACCGAGCUGAGUCACCGCCUGGGAUUUACUGUGCGGGGCUGAGCCUUACCCAGGGCACCCACUGCCACCUAUAGCCUGGCUUUCCUGUUUGCACUACAUGCACACCUCCGUCCCUCGCCAGAGAGCGACAGUGUCAAGGCGAGCUUGCACCCUGAGUGGCUGCAGAACGUGCUCUUGGGGGGCACAGGAGCCAGAUGGGAAGUGGCAGCUCCUGGCAGGGUCCACUCACCUCUGCAGUUCCUGUCAUCCCUGGCCAGGGUGAAGCCAGUCGGGCAAGAACAGGAGAAGCGUCCAGAGCUAAAAGAAAUCAAGAUAAAAACCAUCCCCAUGGAAUGCUCAGAAGCCAAUAAAGAAGAUGGGACAGCAUUCAUUCCCCUGGGACGUUGUCCAAGGUAGAGUUAAAAUGGCAGGUUAUAAAGACAACUUGUAACUUUGACCUCAUUUAUAAAAAGAAAAAUGGUAUCUCUUACGUUCAGAGAAAAAAGAGGGUGGAAGAAUCUAUCCCCAAAUAAUCGCCCAAGCUAUGUCUGGAAUUACGGGGGAGAAUUACUUUAUUGUUCAUAGGUUUCAUAUGAUUGGCCUUUCUAUAAUUAGCGUACGUGAAGGAACAAUACUUGCUGCCAUUAAAUAAAUCAGGAGGCUGUUAUGUGUUGAAUUGUGCAUCCUCCCAAUGGAAUUAAUAUGUUGAAGUCCUCACCGCAGGACUUCCGAUUGUGACCUUGUUUGAAGAGAGGGUCUUUACAGAGGACAACAAGUUAAAAGGAGGUCGUUAGGGUUGGUGUCCUUAUAAUAGGGGAAAUUUGUAUUUAUUUUUUAUUUUUUUAUUUUUAAAUCUCCCCUUGACUGCAGAAUAAUAGGGGGAACUGGAGACAGGCACCAACAGGCAGGAUGUCAUGUGAAGAUGAAGGCAGAGAUGAGGUGAUGCUUCUACAAGCCAAGAGACGCAGAGAUGGGCAGCAAACCAGCAGCAGGGCGGGGGAGAGGUACACAGAUUGUCACAGCUCUGAGAAGACCCCACGCGGGGCUCAGCUUUCUCGCCUGCAGACCUGGGAGACAGGCCUGUGGUUUUAGCCCUCAGCUAAGGUACUUUGUCAUACAUAGGACAUAUACAGAGGCCGUGUGCACAGCUGUGUGGUUUGGACCCGGAGCUGGUCAGCUAGAGAGGGACCAAGCCCUGAAACAGGGGUGGGGAGGGUCUCUGCUCAGACCCCAGUCUACCUCGAGACAGCAUCUCUGGCUGGGGUCAGAGAACCCCUGGGCGGGACAAAUGCUAAUUCAAGUGACUUCACAGCAGUCCCCAAGAGCACACCAUGGACAUUCUCCUCUUACUCUGCCUGUUUCAUGGGAUGGGGAGGUGUCCACACAGAGGUCAUGUUCCGGUCUCCUGUCCAAGGUGAAUAGGGAACACCUAGCACUUCUGAGACUCAGUUUCCCCUCUGUAAAUGGGCCGCGGAGACAAGACGACCCAUAAAGCCCUCCCGGCGGUUCAUUCU